rnacentral:rRNA from 1 species
GAUGAACGCUGGCGGCGUGCCUAAUACAUGCAAGUCGAGCGAACGGACGAGAAGCUUGCUUUUCUGAUGUUAGCGGCGGACGGGUGAGUAACACGUGGAUAACCUACCUAUAAGACUGGGAUAACUUCGGGAAACCGGAGCUAAUACCGGAUAAUAUUUUGAACCGCAUGGUUCAAAAGUGAAAGACGGUCUUGCUGUCACUUAUAGAUGGAUCCGCGCUGCAUUAGCUAGUUGGUAAGGUAACGGCUUACCAAGGCAACGAUGCAUAGCCGACCUGAGAGGGUGAUCGGCCACACUGGAACUGAGACACGGUCCAGACUCCUACGUGAGGCAGCAGUAGGGAAUCUUCCGCAAUGGGCGAAAGCCUGACGGAGCAACGCCGCGUGAGUGAUGAAGGUCUUCGGAUCGUAAAACUCUGUUAUUAGGGAAGAACAUAUGUGUAAGUAACUGUGCACAUCUUGACGGUACCUAAUCAGAAAGCCACGGCUAACUACGUG